AGCUUUGAGCAGUGGCACUAUUGUAGCCUAUGAAGUUUAUUUGAGGUAUAAUUAUUGCUAAUUGAAAACUUUUCCCAAUAUCCCCCCCAUGACAACUUUAAACAUAGUUGGCAUUGACAAUUCUUUUUUUUUUUUUUU
rfam:Otolemur garnettii contig181145, whole genome shotgun sequence.